rnacentral:lncRNA from 1 species
GCAAUGAUACGUGUUGAUGUAGGAAACGCGUGGUUCUGACGCAGAAAAGGACCUUUUUGGAAUGACAUCUUCUGACCUGUGAAACUAGCUCUCUCUCAUCACGUUCUGAUAUAUCGCUGCAAUAAAUUGCAAAAGUAGGCUUUUUUCUGGUUGGAUGAUGAUGCAGUGCAGAGGUCAUGGACAUGGACCCUCUCUGUUGUUGUUGUUGUAUGUAGAUGGACCACGAAGGUGUCAAAUCCGAACCCCUAAUAAACCAUACAAUAAAAAUUCUUGCCCCCUCUUCUUUUUCCAGCAAAUUCUCUUUUGGUGAAGAUCAAGUGCAAUUCUUUUU